CUGCUAAAAUGCCUAUCUCCUUCAGUUUGCUAUACUUUCCCACCCAACAGUAUAGUUCUUACAUGUUAUUUCUCCAUUUACUGGUUCAAGUUUGUUUUCAGCACUGGACAGAAAUAAUGCUACACAUUUAAAACAUCUGAGAGCUUUUUAGUUGUGGUCUUAAUGUCAUUAAACGUUUACAGGCAAAUUAACGGUCUUUUCUAACAGUGCAACCCACCCAAGACCUCGGCACCAGUUACCUUAAACUGCUUAUGGAUCAUGCCCACAAGGAUCCAAGCUACCGACAGCAUCGAGGUGAGGGGUGAAGGGUCUGCGCUAGGCCAAAGGCAGGGGGUGACGAUGUGGCAGAGAAGUCACUUGUGGGGAGAACAGAAGGCAGAGCCAAGCGUUUAUAUGCAAGUCAAAAUCCUGAACAGCCUCAUGAAGGAUGAAACGAAGCCUCUGCAAAGGAAAGUUCUUUAA
rnacentral:lncRNA from 1 species